rnacentral:tRNA from 1 species
GCGGAAAUGGCGGAAUUGGCAGACGCGCAAGACUAAGGAUCUUGUGCCCGAUUUAGGGCGUGGAAGUUCAAAUCUUCUUUUCCGCACCA